GACGAACGCUGGCGGCGUGCUUAACACAUGCAAGUCGAACGGGAUUUAGUAAACGGAAGCCUCGGUGGAAGAUUACUAAUGAGAGUGGCGAACGGGUGAGUAACGCGUGAGCAACCUGCCUAUGACAGUGGGAUAGCCUCGGGAAACCGGGAUUAAUACCGCAUAAAAUCGUAGAAACACAUGUUUCAACGGUCAAAGAUUUAUCGGUCAUAGAUGGGCUCGCGUCUGAUUAGCUAGUUGGUGAGAUAACAGCCCACCAAGGCGACGAUCAGUAGCCGGUCUGAGAGGAUGAACGGCCACAUUGGAACUGAGACACGGUCCAAAAUCCUACGGGAGGCAGCAGUGGGGAAUAUUGCACAAUGGGGGAAACCCUGAUGCAGCGACGCCGCGUGAACGAAGAAGGUAUUCGUAUCGUAAAGUUCUGUCCUAUGGGAAGAUAAUGACAGUACCAUAGAAGAAAGCGCCGGCUAAAUACGUG
rnacentral:rRNA from 1 species